CGAAUGACUCCUGGCAAUGGAUAUCUUGGCUCUCGCGUCGAUGAAGAACGUAGCGAAAUGCGACACUUGGUGUGAAUUGCAGAAUCCCGUGAACCAUCGAGUCUUUGAAUGCAAGUUGCGCUCGAGGCCGCUAGGUCGAGAGCACGUCUGUUUGGGUGUCAUGC
rnacentral:rRNA from 1 species